GUUUAUGGUAUAUAACACUGACACUUCAUACAGUGCUGCAUGAUUUUUUUUUUUAAGCUGAAUGCUCCUUAAAUGCAUGCCGCACUGCCUGCAUGACUUAUUAUGUAAUAUGUUUAAGAAUAAGCUGUCCAGGUGAUGUAGUACAUGGUGUUUGAUGUUAACCUAGGUUGGAUGCCUGCUUCAUAUGUUUUUCUUAGUUGUCUAAAUGGACAUGAUUACUGUAAUGCCAUCUUAACUCAUAUGAAGUUACUGCUUCUAUUUAUGGCUUCGUCAGAAGUUCCUCAAAGUUUCAACAUGUGGUGAAG
rnacentral:misc_RNA from 1 species